AUACAUUCAGCUAUGGUAUUGACUGAUUGUGUUUUUAUGCAAAGUGUGAUGUGAUAAAUGUUCAUACUGUCCUUGUUAAAUAAAUGCCCAACUAUAAACGCUCAGCUCUUUUUAUGACCUUGUUUUAAUUGAAAGUUCAGUAGGGACAUUUCUGUUAGAAAAAGAAUAAAGUGACAUUAUUGUGUUACUGCACUUCAGUAAACGAGCGUGCUUCUGUUGCAGCUUCAUUACUUGCAGAUAUAAAAGAUUUAAGGGAGAAAACGAGUUUUUAGGAAGCCAGGAGAUUGUGAGUCACAUUUUAAACUCAAUGUGACCUGGCUGGAUUGGAGCAGAGGAAUUUUUUUUUUUUUUUUUACCAUUAACACGAAGCUCGCCUCAUUUCAUUAAUUUACAUAUUCUCCAUCAAAUCAAAGAGAUAUUUGUGGAGUUACAAUGCCCCACAGACAUCAUUUCAGAACUUUGUCUGCUUUUUUGGCUGCAAUCCCCAUAUUUCUGAUUUACAACGAUUCAUCUCAAAUAAAUGAAUCUUUGACAAAGUGUGUCUCUGCGGGGCGAGGAGAAAAUAGAAGUUGAGGGAAAGAUAAGGGGGAGGGAGACAGUAUGAGGAGAAACGUUACUUUUUGUCUGAGCUCCUUCAUUCUGACGACUAAGAAGGCCGUGACUUCGCCGCAUACCUUUAUAGUUACUGAACCGACGCCUCUUUAGACUGCCCACUCAAUGACGUAUAAACCGGAGGACCAGUUGUCAGAUCAAAUAUUCUGUUCAUGUUUAUCCUCACAUUGUUAAAGGGAUUUGUGAGGGAGUGUGAUGGAUUAAUCCUCCUUGAGCUGUGCUUUUUGUAAACUCCAGUGAAUUUAGAAAUUUUGCUGCUAUGAGGGGGGCCUGGAAAUUCAUCUCAAAAUGCAAAGUAGUGACAAGAAGGAAAUAAGAAAGGUCGUAGCUUAGCAAGUAUAGUAUGGAAUAUGUCAGCAGGUAUGUGAGCGAUCAGCACUUUACAAAAGCUAAUUGAGUUUCUAUCCUUCUCAUCUCAGAUUGGCUUGUGUACAGAAGGGUAAC
ensembl:lncRNA